CUGGACAACGCUGAAGUUGCUAUGAUGAGCUUCCCAUAAGAUCUAUUCUUUAAUCUCAGCAUUCUCAAUUACAUACAAUCGUCCUCAGAACCUUUGUGUUCUGUCAUCAGAAAUCUGAAAAUCAACCUCUCUCUCAAGUGCAUUCUCUUAUAGAAUCUUCUGAAUUUCUGAAUCUGUCCACUGAAGCGCUUUGAUUCUGAUCUGUACUCUCGGCUCAAUUAUGAGGAUAGUCAUAACACUCAAAAGGUG
rnacentral:lncRNA from 1 species